GUUUCCGUGGUGUAGUGGUUAUCACGUUCGCCUAACACGCGAAAGGUCCCUGGUUCGAACCCAGGCGGAAACA
rnacentral:tRNA from 1 species